rnacentral:tRNA from 2 species
GGAAGGUCAACCCAACGGCCGGCGAUGGGAACUGUCUUGAAAACAGUCGAGUGUAAAAGCCUUGAGAGUUCGAUCCUCUCACCUUCCGCCA